rnacentral:piRNA from 1 species
UGGUCUAUAAAGUGAGUUCAGGACAGCC